GCAGUGAGCCAGAUGAUCGCCGUUGGGUGUUGCGAGUGCAGCGCUCGAGGGAGGAAAGUCCGAACUCCGCAGGGCAGUGCGCCGGGUAACGCCCGGUCAGGGUAACUUGAAGGACAGUGGCACAGAAAACAUACCGCUCGCCUUCGCCGGGUCCGCCCGGCGGAGGCGAGUAAGGGUGAAAAGGUGCGGUAAGAGCGCACCGCGCCGGUGGUAACACGGGUGGCAGGCAAAACCCCGCACGGAGCAAGACCAAAUAGGGAAGCGCUCGAGGACGGCCCGUCCGAAGCUUCCGGGUCGGUCGCUUGAUCUCGCCAGUAAUGGCGAGGCUAGAGGAAUGAUUGUCGCCACGCCGGCGGCCGCAAGGGUGCCGGCUGGGACAGAAUUCGGCUUACGGCUCGCUGCGAAC
rnacentral:RNase_P_RNA from 1 species